CACGUAGAUGGCUUUGUAAGUCGGAUGUGAAAUCCCCGGGCUCAACCUGGGAACUGCAUUCGAAACUGCAUUGCUCGAAUGUGGAAGAGGGAAGCGGAAUUCCAGGUGUAGCGGUGAAAUGCGUAGAUAUCUGGAGGAACAUCAGUGACGAAGGCGGCUUCCUGGUCCAACAUUGACAUUCAGGUGCGAAAGCGUGGGGAGCAAACAGGAUUAGAUACCCUGGUAGUCCACGCCAUAAACGAUGAGAACUAGAUGUCGGGAGGGUUAGCCUUCCGGUGUCGCAGCUAACGCGUUAAGUUCUCCGCCUGGGGAGUACGGCCGCAAGGUUGAA
rnacentral:rRNA from 1 species